AGGGAGAAGCAGGCUCCAUGCAGGGAGCCCGAUCCCGGGUCUCCAGGAUCACACCCUGGGCUGAAGGCGGUGCUAAACCGCUAAGCCACCCGGGCUGCCCUUUAAUCUCGUUUUAAUGAUUUGACUUGCACGACUAAAAACCUCUAGCUGUGUUUUUCCAGUUAACCCCAGAUUUUUAGAUCCCACAUAGCACCAGUUUCUAAACAAUUAAACAAGAGGAAAGUAAGUUGUUCUAGGCCCAAUUCUUUCCAUUUUAGAGACCUGGCUAAGUCCAAAGAAUGAUUUCCAACAGUGUCUAAAUAUGUCUGUCAUAACAUGUGUCUGUGUCACUCAGAGCAAAUGUUAUCUGUAUCUAAUAUUUCUUGUUCUUUCAUUAUUCAAAUUUGUUUAAAAAUAUCUUUGUGCUUUUAUACUUUGUGACAGCAUCAGCAGUUAAUAUUUAAACUGUUCCUUUUAAAAACAAAAAAAAAAUUUUUUUGAGAGAGAACAAACACAAGGGGGGGGGGGACAGAAGGAGAGGGAGAGGAUCUCAAGCAGGCUCUACGCUCAGCACAAAACCUGACACGGGACUGGAUCCCAGAACCCUGAGACUGUGACCUGAGCUGAAACCAAGAGUCAGAUGCUUACCCAACAAACCACCCAAGCACCCCUGAACUGUUCUCAAAUAGCAUGGUAAGGUGCCUUCCUACAUGUUUUCAUGUAUGUUGAUAGCCACUAUGCCCAUCUUAUAGAUAUAUUUUCUCAUUUGUGAUUAGAGUUGCUGUUCUCUUCUUGAAGAGAAAAGUGCAGGCAAAGGCCCCUUGUGGCAAGAGAGUCCUGGGGUGGAUAUUUUCUCUCCCCUAAUAAGUGGUGGUACAAAAGCCAAUUCUGAAUCUGAUCCUUUUUCUUUUUCUUUUUUAUUUUUUCUUUUUAUUUUUUUUAUUGGAGUUCAAUUUGCCAACAUAUAGCAUAUCACCCAGUGUUCAUCCUGUUAAGUGCCCCCUUAGUGCCCAUCACCCAGUCUGAUCCUUUUUCUAUGUGCUUUUCUACAAUUAGAGAGGAGUAGAAAGGCUUUCAGUGGUACAGUUUUUCAAUCCCUUCUGCUUUUCUCAGCUGCUUUUUCUGGCUCUGCUCUUUUGGGGAAAAAAAAAAAAAAAACUACUCUGUUUCUCACUCCACUCCCUCUACCACCACCCUCAAGUCAGAGUCCUCCUCCCAUCCCAGCUAAACCUCUUCCUGUUCUUAAGAAUUGCAUCACAUUCUUGGCUUAAUGUAGACCAACACCCCCACACUGGCACCAGAGAGUGUACAGGCCUUCUUUAUUGGUUGAAAGUCCUUGUCUGGUGAGCAUGGAAUAAGUUACCCACUUCCUGACUUCCAGCCCUGGCUGAGUUUGCUUCUGGAAAAGAACAUCUUCCUUGGAUUUUUGUUUGUUUGUUUAUAAAUACCCUUUACUUCAGCCCUAUCCUGGAAUGAGCAAGAUUUUACCACAUAGAUAAAGUGUGGAAGGGCAUUUGAGGGAGAGGGAAUAGUCUGCACACCUUGCUGUUUCUAAUUCUUCGCUUGCUCCACUCUUGUAAACCCAGACUAAUCUGGCAUUGACUCUCACACUAUGGAAGGGGCUUUCUUUAAGGACGGUAAUGCCCCCCAUGACUAAAUUUGGUGGGUAUAUCAGUCUUCCUCUUACCUGACAAUGAGCAGAAACUGACACCAUUAACCUCCUUGAUAGACUCACUACCUUCCUGUGGAUUCCAUGCACUAUUAUUUUUUUCUUACCUUCCUCAUGGAUCUUAGGCAUCCUUUGAAAGCUCUUCUUUCAUAGAGAGAGAAGACUCCUGAGGUGUCGAUGUUCCUCAGGGUCCUGUCCUAUGUCAGCCUGUCUUCCCCCUCUAUACGUUUUCUGAGAAAUCUCUCUUCCGCAGCUUUAUGAAUUUUUUAAGCCAGUGACUUCUAAAUAUCUAUCUCUCCUGAACUCCAGACUAAUAUAACAACUGUCUUCUAGAACUGCUCCGGUUGGAUAUUCCUGAAGCCAUGUUAAUCAACUCACUUCUCUAGACUAUUCCUCUUCUACUCUUCCUUUUCCUAACAUAUGCCACAACAUCCACCCUAUUGUUCUAGACAGAAACCCAGGAUUCAUCUUUGACUUCUGUGCACAGUCUCUCUUUUCGAUCAAUAACCAAGUCUAGUAAAAUCUUUUUCUUUGAAAACACCCGCUUAUUCUUCUCCUCCCCUGGCCUAAGCAAUGACCUCUGGGCUUUUGCAAGUCUUUACUAGUUUCCUGCCUCUAGUUUUUCUCCCCUGGGUCAUUUUCCACCAGCUACCAGAAAGUUUUGUUUUGUUUUGUUUUAAUAAAUGCAAUUCUGAUGAAUUCACCUCCUGCAUUUAAAAUCAUUUCAUUGCUUCCCUGUAUUCUUGGGCUAGAGUCCGAAUGUCUUAGCAUGGCUCAUAAACACUCUGCAAUCAGCAACCUGCCUACCAUUGUCUGCACCUCACACAUACUGGAUUCGUGUGUUGCAAACACAUCCUGCUUUCUCUUGUUUCUAGGGCUUCACAAAUGCUGGUUCCUUCACAUGGAGCAAACACUGUAUCGUAGGACCUCAAACAUGUCUGGUCUAAAGUCUACCUCCAGAUUGUCAUUUGUCUUACUCCUGAAUCAGAACUGAAUUUGAAUACUUAGUUUUUAAUUAAUUCUUGAAUUAAAGCCACAGUGAACCUUAGCUCACCCUAUUUCUUAUUUCUUUGCAAAAGACUUCUGAAGGUAUGUUCAAAUGAAAAUAUAUUUGAGCUAAUUAAUUUAGAUCAGCAUGGACUCUUAACAUAGCCGAAUAUGAGCUGGAACAUAUUUUUUAAAUUACUGGAAUGUUUUCUGGACGAUUAUUCAUCAUGACAUCCUAUCUUUGGAAUUUUGUCUUCAUUUCCAGCUGGCUUAUACCACUCUCCUUUCUCACCUCUCAGCCCUUCCAUCCCCUGGCUUGCCCUACACUUGCCCCUCGAUGGACCCAGUUUGCAUGCAGUGGUAGCUGCUGUGGGGCUGCGGUUAAAUAGAAGUGCUCAGACUGCAACAGGAAAGCACUGAAUCGAAAGCAAAGGAGAGGAAGCACAAACCGAUACCCACCACAAAGCUGCUGAGUGCCCAGCAUGACCCAAGCCACACCCUCUGAUGAGGAGCCUUGUGGAGGAGUGAAGAAGCCACAGAGUUUAAUAAAUCAUCAGCACAGCCCGUCCUCCACUUCCCCUAAUCCAGCCUUCCUGGGUCACCCGUGAAUGUCCCCAGGGCUGGCCUAAGAAGGUUGGUGAUGACAGCAAAGCCACCAGAGAGGUAGAGGUUGAGGGAAAGUCCCUGAAAUGAAUGACUGUGUACCAUUCAUCUCGGACUCUCCACCUGGUCUAGCCCUAUGAGUGGUUCUAAGGAGCUCUCUGCAUGGGAUGAUCCCCAGAUGAAGGCCCUCGUGUUCCCUACAAGUCCUUUGGCUACCGGCCCCAAAAGAAGCUGUUUCUACUGGGGGCCGAAACUUUUUUUUUUGUAAACAAUAAUAAAGUCCCUACGAGAUACAGUUUGAGAACUUGAAGUUCACAUUUAUGUACAAAUGGCUAUUUUCAGAUUCUUUCCUGGCUUCAGUAGAGAGAGCAGGAAGGAGAAAGAGAUGGCACGUCAAAGAAAGAGUGGCAGAUGGGAGGAAGGUUCUUCCAGUUAUCUCCUGGGUUCUGGCUUCACCUCUGAUACUUACAAGGCAACAACCAAAAAGGAGACGUCAGCAGUUCUCAACUUGUAACUGUAACCUUGUACCCGUGUGGCUCUGAGCCCAGGGAGGAGGCAGUGGCUGGAGACUCCCUGCUCUGGAAAGCUAGCGGUUUUGUUUUCUUCUGGUUGCCACCCUGAGGCAGAGGAGAGGAGGAUGUUUGGGUUUGCAGGCCGCCUGGCCACUGUCAGCAAGUUUGCAACCCUGGCCUCACUUCCCUGAAGCUGGGGGUUGGGGGGGGGUCAGCUGCCCUGGCCUCCCUCCAAUAAAGGAGCCGUAGAGGAUUCAAAUACCCCUUCCGUUGCAAGGCUCUGACUUUACCCUGAAAACUGACGAUCUCAUCUGGGAAGGGUCAGUUUAAAAAAAUGACCGAAUGGCCCAAAAUAAACAGAGGGAACAACCACAACAAAAACUUUCUCUGCAAUGUUUCCUUAUAAUUACUGGCCCAGCCCACCAGAACUCUGGCGGGAGUCCCCGUCCACUGUCACUGUGGCCCCCACAUGGCCUUGUCUGAGUGAACCCCAGCUGACCCGAGCAGUACCCUGCCCUGUUCGCCAGCCCUGCUCCAGCACCUUCCUCGGACAGCAGGGAGAGUCCAGACUGCAGCAUGUUUUGAGGAUGGAGUUUGGGAACAGUCAAUAGAAGUACAGCUCAUUUACUAGGAUCCCUAAGAGACGAGUAAACUCAGCUUAAAUGAUGUGUCCAAAUUCAGAGAGUAAGUGUGGGGCAAAAUGGGCCUCCUUAUUCUUUACCUGGUGCUCUUUCCAGAUUCAUACACUGUUGUAGAGGGAUCCAACAUAGGGGGGUUAACUUUAAAGUUCUGUUUCUCCACCUUUUCUUUCCAACCAAAUCCUACUUUGUUGACCAGGGCUGUUUCAAAAAGCGUAUUUUGAAUUUUGACUUGAGGACAAUGACUAAAUCUUACACAAUGUGUAAUGGUACCUUGUGUGCACCUCAGAGUUUGUGUUACCUAGUUGCCCCCUAGAGCAGCACUGUGAGGUUAGCAGUAAGCAGAGUGGGUAAGGUAUGGGCUUAGUUUCCAUGCCUGCAAAAUGGGAACGGAAAUGGCAUCUACUUCAUUGUGUUGUCAUGAGGAUUUCAUGGAACAAUACAUGUAACGCACAAUGAAAAUCCCAGCAAAUGUUAGAAAUUGUUAAUAUCCCAGGAGUCUUUUUUUUAAAAAAAAGGUUUUAUUUAUUUAUUUGAGAGAGAGCAAGAGAUAGUACCAGUGGG